rnacentral:lncRNA from 1 species
AAAAUGUAACAGUGCAAAUGUAAAAUGGUGGCCUCUGUGCAAUGAUGAAGGGCAAGUAGAUGUUGUAAAUGGAGGAAUCUUUUCAUACUAGAAAAUGAGACUGGCAUGGAGAAAAGAAUAAGAAAAAAACCAGUACAGGCUAAAACCAUGUGCAGUGAGAUCCUAAGCAAGCCUACUCUGAAGUAAGCCCCACUGAGUUCAAUUAAAUAUAUUCCAUUGUUAACAUGCAUAGAACUGUAGCCUUCUUUAACAGUCUAAGAUUUGAUUAGAGGCUUUCAGCUGCUGUGAUUUUAAUAAAUAAUUGUGAUCUAAACUAAGUUACAGUUAGUUGCAAUCUGUGUUAUCUUGGAAUGCAGGGGCAGAUGGGGCUCAUCAACCUGGCAAGGUAGCCCAUCUAGGAAAAAGGAAACUUCGAUCCUAAACAUCUGCUGUCUUGCAGUUAAACUAAUUUGUGAGAAAUCCUUUGGGAGUAAACCCUGAGGAACAAUUUGUACCCGCUGCUUUGUGAAAUAUCUCCCAGAGAAGAAGAGGCUAAGGAUUAAACCCUACACAAAUCCAGAGUGGAAUCCCUAAGGCAGUUGGAUGGUGUCUUGUAUGCCUCCUUCUGCCAACUCCUGCAGCCCAGCUGGCGCCAGAUGUAUUGCUUUGCUUUGGACCACACCAAGAGGGGAGUCUUGUCAUCUGGGCAGCCCAGGAUCUCCAUACAUACUGCCCAGGCUUGCACCCUGGGGAGGUCACUGCAAAUACAGCAAAAACUAUGUGGGAGGUACCAGCUACAAGUUAUAAGUUCAACCUGAUUGGCGUAAGGUACAAGUACUACAGGUUGUCUUCACUGGUGGGAGAGAUCAUUGUGUCUCACUGGUCAGCUAUGGCUUAAGCGGGGCAGCCCUUGGUCAACCCAUAGCAGUGACCAGAAGAAUGACCACUGGGAAGAGCACAGAGAGAAGAUAUGUCAUGGUGCAUCUGCAGCAGGACAACCAGAGACCUUCAUCUGUCCCAGCUGGAACCAAACAUGUCUAUUCCACAUCAGUCUCUGAAGCCACAGCAGGUACUGCAACCUUCCAACAGUUUGACUUCACACCCAAAGGUGCACACUUUCAUUGUCUCCCGAGGCAGACAGAUGCCAACAACAAGUAUACUAAUUCAAGAAAUAGGAUGCAACAUAGUUUUAAUGGGAAAUCCCUGUUUGUUUCUUAAUUCUGCCCUUAGGAUCCUUUUCUUAAUUUGUAUGGUACCAGUCUGGACAUUUUCAUGGUGCUUGAAAUCACUGGAAAUGUUCCAACACCAGAGUAGCUAACCUGUGGCCCUCCAAAUGUUGUUAGACCCUCACUUCCAUCAACCCCAGUCAAAAUGGCCAAUGAUCAGAAAUAAUGGGAGUUGUAGUCCAGGGACAACUGGAGGAUCAAAGGUUAGUCACCACACUGGUUAACCACACCCUCUCUUGCUUUGUAGUCUUGAACGGAUUUGUCAUUGCAGGGAACUUUAUGGGGCGGGGAAGAGCAGAAACUUGGGACAUCUCAGCACACUCACCAAACUAUUCCCAUGAUUCUUUUUGGAAGCUGUAACAAUUAAAACAAUGGUUUGUUUCUGGUAAAGGAUAGAGACGGCCCCUUUGAUACUUGAGCAUGAUAAGUACUUAACUGGGUUGUCCCAAACUAGUUGCUUAUUUUACCUUUCCAAGAUUUAAUUGACGUAGCUGGAAGUCAGGAUCAGAGUGAAGAAUAAGGCAAUCUGUGGCAAUUUCCAACUAUUCAGGGCCUUGAAUGCACUGUCAGGAAAAGUGUACCCAAGAAGCCCACACAAUUUUGGAGUUUCCACAAUUGUGUCAAUUCCUGAAACUAACUUAAAAGGUUGCACCGGAGUUCUCUUUAAGCGAGCGGAACAGAUCAAUCUUAUCACCAUCUCUAUGAAUUUUAAAUAAUAGCCACUUUUCUUUUCUUCCUUGGCUAACUGUUGCAUGUUCAGAAGCUUUCCUUUUACAACGUCAUAUUUCUUCCUUCUUUAAUAGAAAUUACUUUAAUGGACAAGAUGAUGUUAAAAUUUUGAUUUAAAUGUACUUGGGCACAGUGGGAACAUCAGUAUUUUUAUAUUUAGCCUUCAAAAGCUCAAGAAAUUGUGUUCUCAUUCUUGGCAGGAGCAACUUUGCCCCACCUCUCCUAGAAGAAAGAGACUCAGGUUGAUUCCUUCUUUUGAGAGGGGGAUAAGUAGAUCACAUGUGGCCAGAGUGACCAAUGAGCAGGGAGGGUUAGCCAGCUAUUUAAGGCUGACUCCAUCCCUCUUCACCUGGUCAUCCUCACAGGCUUGGUUCCCUUAGGGUCAGGCCUGCAGGACCUGGGUACACCGGCUAAGCUUCAUUUACCCAAGGCUCACUUAACAAAGACAGGAAGUUUUCUUCCAGUCCUCAGCUGGGAGGCAAAUCACCUGCUGGUUUACUUGGCCAGGGGGAGGGAUACUUCACUCUCAUGUUUCCAUUGAUUCCCCCUGCCUGCACAUAUUUAUUUGGCUAAUUGCAGAUCCUCCAAUUUGUUUUGUAUCAUUAUCAUUAUUUAUAUAAUGAUUUUUUCCCUGACAGGAACUCAAGACAGCUUACAGAUAAAAUAAGGACAGUUAAAAACAUAGAUAUAGUAAUAAUUAAUUAAUAUACCCUUGUUGCCACAUAAAAAGUUGUCCUGAGUCUUCUUUCUAGGUAUGGGGGCAACAUAUCUAUGUAUAUGAUCCAACAGGAAAGGGAAAAUCUGGUUGCCAUAUUUACUUCAUGUGCCAUCAGGAAAAUAUGAUGUUGGCACAGGCAGCUAUGUUGCUGCUUAACUGCAGUUUAUAUCCAAGUGCACUUACAUUUACCAUUGAUUUAAAUGGAGGGCUAGUUGAUCCAUCUCUCCAGCCUUCAACCCAGGUAGCUAUAUAGAGGUAUGAUAUUGUCUGUCAUGUUUUUGACCUUGAGAGAAUAGACAUAAACAUAUCUGAGCUACCAGUAAUAGUUGGAGAAUGUUGGUUGUCAUGGGGGUGACUUACUCCUGAUUUGCCAUAAUGUCAAUGUGCCAAUUAAAUAUGAAUUAAGAUGAUGUCGCCUAGCAUCCCUGGACAUCUUUGCAACUCAUUAGUGUUGCAGCUUUUUCAAAAAAUAAGAAACUAACAUUCUAAAUAUGUUCUUUUUUUCAAAAAGAGGCUAUAACUGAAAGUUGAAUGAGAAGAAUGCUUUACUCUUUUAUUAGUUCACUUUCUGCUAUAUAUCUAGUCUGUAUGCCAAGAAAAGUAUAAUCAAAUGGCAAGUUAUUGGUUUUUCAAUAACACAGUUUUAAAAAGAGAAUAAAAUAGCAUAUCUUACCUGGCAGUAUUUAUGAAACAAUUAAUAUUGCUAGUGUAUUUUCCACUUCCUCAAUAUUUCAUAUGCCGUAUCAGUUUUUAUAAACCUCAAAAGCAGGCAUAGGCAAACUCCAGCCCUCCAGAUAUUUGAGACUACAAUUCCCAUCAUCCCUGACCACUGGUCCUGUUAACUAGGGAAGAUGGGAAUUGUAGUCCCAAACAUCUGGAGGGCCAGAGUUUACCUAUGCCUGCUCAAAAGACUACAAGAAAGACUAAUCUGAGAACUAACAAGACAGUGAGGCAACACUUUGGGGCAGAAAUACAGCAUUCAUGUUGUCUUAUCCAAUUCUCUUACAAAAUAAAAUGAAGUUGUAAUUCUAUUGAACUUUUGGGAGAUGUUUCUGAAGGCACAAUUGAACACAAUAUCUUGUUUUUAACUCUGUAGUCUUAAAAUUUAUACCCAUAUCUGUUAAGCUUAAUUCCAUUCCUGUUGAGAUUUAUAAUCCUGACAUAUUUCUAAUUCUUUGGUUUUGCCCCCAAAUGACAGAAACAGUAUAAUGCUCUCUUGCACAUAGAGAAACACAUGGUGGACAUGAUACUGCAGCUCAUAAUAUAUGGAUAUUUUAUUGUGGUCACCAGCCAAAAAUCAACAACAACAAUAAAAUUAUGUUUCCCCUAUAUUGCAUUCUAACCUGACAUCCAUAUAUGUAGGAUAAUGAAAUUACUGUGGAGUGUGAGGAGAAGGCCUGUAUUGCGUAAAGAGUUUACUUUGGUCUGGAGGUUUUUGCUUAUUCCCUUUGAUGUAUCUCAGAAAUCUUCCAAGUAAACCAGCCAAAGGACUGUUCUGGGAUUAGUAGAGUGACCUGGUCGCUGUCCAUGGUACUGAAAACCAAAGCUAAGUCAUUCUUGUUUGUUUUAUUGUGAAGUAGGUGCUCUUUCAUAGCCUCCCUUGCAACCUCAUUUAGCCAAGACUGAUGAGGCAACAGCACACUGUAAAUGUUACUGCAAGAAGCUAUUCAGUUCAGUUUGUUUCUCUGGAGUCUGUAUGGUGGCGAUUGCACACUACUUGUAUCUUCACUUUAUUUCACCUGCACAUACAUAACGGUAGUAUUUCGGAUUUGCAAAUCGAAGCCUUGAUGCAACUGAUUCCAUUUAUCCAGGGGCAUCCUUUAAUCUUAAAUUCAGCAGCUCCUUUGGCAUUACUAAGGUAUGUGAUAUAAAUCAGAUAUGAGAGCCCUUUUAAGAAACUGAUUUUUGGCUCAAUGGACCGUAACCACUUUGAAAUCAAUGAUUAUUUAGGAACUCUUAAAACUGUAGAUAAUUUAGCUGCUGCACACACACGUAUUGGUUCUAUUUUCUUCUUAUUGGUUUACAUGUGAAUAAUCUAUAUUUGUCUGGGUCUCUCCUACACAGGUGGUUGAGUAUGGAUUAUAGCAAUUCUCCUUUUUUAAUACACCAGGCAGAGCUGUAAAAGAUUUCAGCACCAUCCCCACCCUUAGAAAGAGACUUAAAGGGCAAAGUUGGAGAGUUUGGUGUUGCAGUUCUACUCAAUUUCAGUGGAAUGCGAGGAGGUUAAGCAUCAUGUGAAAGGGCCCUGGCAUUUUGCAACCUAAUAAUUAUCAUAUAUUAUUUUUCUCUUCACAUCUCUAGAAGCCUUGUGACUAUGUUUGUUUCUUGACACAUGGUAUCAAGCUUUCUAGCUCAGGAUCAGAUAGCUGCUCUAGAAUUUGAAGGAGAUCCACUUUUAAACUUAAAAGUGCCUCUAGUUCUUGUUGCUAUAGACCCUAUAAUAUAGAGCAGUAGGUGGGUUGUACUUCCUCAUGGAAAGCCCAGCUGAGGGUGGUGGUAUCACAUUUCAGUAGUGGGUAGGGCCAAAAGCAACACUGGACAGAGUAUCAAUUGUUACUCUUACUUUUGUACAGCAGGCUACAUUUCUAUACACAAACACAAAAAGCCCAUGGAGAAGGUAUAGAAGAGGACUAGUGAGAGGUGUGACCUGGGUGCAUAUGGCUAGGAAAGAGUUCUGAGAGUCAGACGGAGGAGGACGGAGGACCACAUUUGACCCCCAGUCUUGUGGUUCCCCAUCCCUGCUAUAGAGUCAAAACUUGUAAGAGUGGGAAACUUCAAUUAAAAUAUUUGAAAACAAGGAGAUAUGUGUAGGGCUUCCAGUGGGCAGGGAACAGAUUUAAUAAAAAUUAAUUUUAUAAUUUCCCAUGAAUAAUAUUACACAUUUCCAAAGUGUUAUAUCUGGACUUUACAUAGGACUGUGGCUUCCAUGGAAAUGGGGUCUCCAAUAUGGCACCCUCAGGUUCCCUGCCCCUGUCUUUUUAUUUUUUCAUUUUAGUUUUGUUUAAAUGAUGUUGUUCAGGUGGGAGGAAAUCUCGGGGGGGGGGGGUUGCAAGUGUUGUCAGGUAUUUUGGGCUAUGUUUUAUUUGGUUUUAGGAAUGUAUGUGUAUGUGUUUUGCCUGUUCGAGGAGACUGGUGAGGGGCUGAGUGUCAUCAGUUUUUCUUCUGUGAAAUUGGUUCUUUGUGGUGCCCACAACAGUUUGUUUUUUUUAGAUUUCCAGGUGUACCCUCAAGCCAAAAAGAUUAUGGACUUCUGACAUAACGCAUUACAGCUGGGACCAUAAACCAUACUUCUACUAUUAUAAUCUCAGGAAACCAUAGGUAGAGUAUUAAUAUGGAAUGAGUACCUUCUAAUUAUGUUGGUAACAAUCUUUGGUCCUUCUGUUCAAACUUACUGGAGAACCUACUGGUUGGGGUUAACCUACAAUUACCUCCUUCCAUAAGGUAGGGUCUGCUCUAUCCCUCCUUCUCUGAAGAUAGAAUGAUAGAAACAAGGAACAGAGUCUUUUGGGAGGUGACACCUUCAUUAUGCCCUCCAAGCCUUCUUGGUAUCAUCACUUAAUAUCCCCACUUGGCCACCUAAUGACAGGCACACAGACCAGUUUCAGACACAGCCAUAGAGAAACCCUUUCAGACACAGAGAAAUCCUUUCCCAGUACAGUAAAGGGAGCAGUCAACACUAAAUCAGCAGAAGAAACUAUCCCAAACAGUGCAUUUACACAAUUGAUCCUUGUGAACAUUAUCCAAUUAAUUAUGGGUUGUAAAAUAGUAAUAAAAUAAUUCUUGUUUAAAUCCAAUGUUAUGUGCAGUUGUACAAACACUAAUUAGGGAACAAAUAUUAUUGAUGCAUGUGAAAGCUUAAAGGAAAUUUUUAAAAUGCAGAUUCAAUCUGUUGCUGUUCUGUCACUUUCAACACACCAUUGUGGAGUGGGAGAGCCAUUCUGUAACAAAGGCAAUUUCCUGGAUUUGUGCAGUGCAGCAUAAUUCAGCCAAACGUAAUCAUCCCAUCCCAUCCUUGAAAUGGGAGUUAGUUGCAAUGAUUUUAAAAUGCCAUUCAUUUUAAAGGGACAUUAAAUCUGACGUGUGUUCUAUUCUAAGGUUGGGAAACCCAUAGGCCCUCCAGAUAUUUCUGGGCUCCAAUUCCCAUCAGACCCAGCCAGGAAGGCCAGUGGUCAUGGGUGACCACCAUCUGAAGGACCACAAGAUCUCUGCCCAUGUUCUGUGUCCUUCCAUGGGAGCACCUGGGGGCUAGGAGCUCACAUAGCCUGUCCACUGAAGAGCUGAGAAGGAGAGUGGCUGCUGAAUCCUCUCCCUCCCAUUCCAAAUAAAGGUGAGAUGACUUGCUACAUGCCUGGAAGAAGAAGGGGAUAAUGGAGAGGGCUCUACAAUGUGUUAUGAGAAUCCUGUCCACAUAUGCAGCUCUGCACUGGCCUCCCACAGGAGGGGUGGAUAAAGUAAUUUGCCCUGACAAAAUGUAGUUGCUAGCUAAGCUCAAUUCAAAUCCAAGGAAUUCAACCUGAAAUCCUCAAUCC